ensembl:lncRNA
CACAAUACCCUUAGCGCUGUGUUAGGAGUCAGCACCAUGAGAAACAGGGCAGAUAGACAGGAAAACAGCAGUCCUGCCAUGUUGGCUGCAAAAAAAGCUGUCCUUACUAAGGCAAUGGCUCUGCCUGCACCUAAAAGCUGUGAAUAACAGGAUGACUCACUCUAAGCACCAGACAGUGCACCCUGAAGCUGGGGUCAGCAGAACACACGAGCCUGCAGCCUCGUGAGUCCUUGGAGACCCUGGAGAAGAUACUCACCAAAUGUGGUUUUAAUAGAUACUGUAAGGGUAAUACAGUGACCCUCAACUUAGCCACAGAGGCUGCUCAGGAGAGGCUAUCUCUAGGUGUGAGCUGAGGAAGCACCUGCCAACAGGCUGCUUUGGUCAGGAAAAUCCUCCGGCACAUUGAUUCUGCACUAUUGCUGCGAGUAGGAUCUGGGAGUAUGGAUGGCAGAUGAAGCACUACAGCCAUGAGGCUUCAAGGAGGUGGGCAGCCACGUUUGUGGGAUCCUCAGACCCUGUGAGAUGGAGGUUCACAGCCACCGCCACACUGUCCCCCAGUAUGGGAACUGCCAGCCUGAGUCAGACCAAAGAUCCAUCUACUUCAAUGUCCUACCUCUGACAGAAGACAAAGAUAUACCUACCUGAUCGGAAUGCUCAGAAGGCUUCACAGCAGACAACGAAGAAAAAAAAUGCUUUGGUUAUCACAGAAGAACUUUGUGGAGGGUGAGAGGAAAGGAAGAAAUUGCCUACGAACAGACACUGGAGAGUGUUUUCUUCAGAGGACUACAGCUCCCAGAUGCUUCUGCUCCUUUCUGCUGCUCUAAGUUCUGCAGUUACUCAUCACUUGACUCUAAGCUGUUCCAGUCUGUUAUUCUGUAUCACAAUACAUGUUGAAUUGGUGGCAUCACAUUCCAUUCCAGCAAAAGUGACUGAAAACCCUUCCUGUCUCAUAGGCAGUGGGUGUUCUACUUUUCUUUCAAGUCCCCCUUUCUUCUCCCCUUCUCCCUCUGCCUCUCUUCACUCCACCAUGCAGUCACCACUUCUGCCAUCCCUGAGCAGCCAUGCAAGACAAGCACAAACUGUCUGGAGGGCUGAAAAUGGAAGACGCAGCAGAUGGAAACACCAAAAUCAUCCUUUUCUGUAGGCUCUCUGAAAGCAGAGAUGCAAGAGAAUUUUGUACACUGCUUUUUUGGUUUUCUUUUCCUUUUUUUUUUUCUUUUUGUGACUUGACACAGAUAUACCUGCUCGAUCUGGAUGCUCAGAAGGCUCCACAGCAGACAAUGAAGAAAACAUGUAGCUGUAGAUGUCCCUGUUUAUUGCAGGGCAGUUGGACUAGAUAACCUUUAAAGGUCCCUUCCAACGUAAACAAUUCUACGAUUGUAUGACUUCUGAGAUUUCUAACUGAUUUUAAAACUUUAAGUGAUCUUUAUGCUGUUAGUAAAUUCUUUUAAAAUUAUAAGGAAGUAGUGCUACAUAAAGUGAAACUGUCAAAGACUUCACACAUUGAUUUGGCAAGCUAGGAUUGUCAGCAGUACUCACCUGUAUGUCACAACCAGGGACACCUGUUAGAAAGAGAGGUGCCACCGCUGUGUUAACACACACGUAGAUGACUGUAUCACCAAGGAGGCUGUGCAGCCUGAGACCUGCCACAGUCAUGCUGGGCUUAAGUGGGAAUUUGUUGAAAAGAAGAUAAUGGGUGGUUCUGGGCACCACUGAGGCAUAUGCAGGGCAGUAAAGUAGACAAUGGCAAUCUUAGAGACCCAGAGAUGCAACAGACCAUCCAUCUCUGGUCAUUUCUGUCACAUGAAAAAGCAAACUUAAGUAAUCUCUGAAUUUUCUGAGCAUGGACAGCAUCUCAGAAAAAAUCACAAAUGCUGAACAAUUCUGAAGUAUGUUUUAACUCUGUUGGAUUUCUGAUCAAGAAUUGAAGUACAAAGAUACAUUGCUAGUAAGUAAAAUGCUUGCUGUUAUAUCUCUGCGUCUAUUUCGUACAUUAGAACUUGGAUUUUCCUCAAGCAUGUCUUAAAACUAGAAGGAAGGAUCCAUUUUUACUGUAAUCAAUUACUCACCUGAUUUACAUUCCAUGUUGGUUAGAAUUCAAGGAGUGAUGGAGCCCUAUGUCCCCAGCUGGCUCAUGCUUACUAUAGACAAGUGAUCACAUUUGGUCCUUGUCAGGCUUAAGAAUUCAGUUAUCCAAAAUUCAGUCAUGACAAUUCAUUUCAAACAGCAGUUAUAGCUACACUUUAAUCAGAACUGGCAAUGGAAGCAACAUAUUUUCUGACUGUACAAUUACUGAUCACUUUAGGCCUAUGUAAAGCAGGAAAAUAAAUUAAUUACAAAUUUGCUUCAGAAUACUACACCAAAGAUUUAAUAUAAACUGAUUUUUCCCAUUUGCCGGAUGUUAACAGGAUCGCUGGUGAAUUUGCACAGGUGAUUAAGCUCUUUGAGGGUAAAUCUUAUAAGAAAAAUAUUUUAAAAUAUGAUUUAUUAUUUUUAACUACUUCAAUUGAAAGCAAUAAAAUUCUCUGCUCGGUGUUUAA